rnacentral:lncRNA from 1 species
AAAAUCAAGCUGCAAAGUUUGGACACGCAUUGCUAUUCAUAUCUCUUUUGCAAAACGAAAUUCACAUAAAAUAUGCUCCAUAGACUCCAUUGUAAAUCCACGUCCCGAACAUGAAGCAUCAUCGGUGAUAUUCCUGCAAUUCCGUAUCUGGUUUGAAUUAAGUCAAUCCAACGAAGCCAACCAAACAAAGAACGAAUUCGCUCCGGGAAAGGAGCUUCCAUAUCCACCCAUCAUUCGAUAGACGAUAAGAAGACCCCCCUUGUGACCAAAGAAUAUGCUGACUUUACAAACAACUUACCCGAGCAACAAUAGCAAAAAUCCC